AUAUCAAUAAGCGGAGGAAAAGAAACCAACAGGGAUUGCCCUAGUAACGGCGAGUGAAGCGGCAACAGCUCAAAUUUGAAAUCUGGCGCUUUCAGCGUCCGAGUUGUAAUUUGCAGAGGGCGCUUUGGCGUUGGCAGCGGUCCAAGUUCCUUGGAACAGGUCGUCACAGAGGGUGAGAAUCCCGUACGUGGCCGCAGGUCUUCGCCGUGUAAAGCCCCUUCGACGAGUCGAGUUGUUUGGGAAUGCAGCUCUAAAUGGGAGGUAAAUUUCUUCUAAAGCUAAAUACUGGCCAGAGACCGAUAGCGCACAAGUAGAGUGAUCGAAAGAUGAAAAGCACUUUGGAAAGAGAGUCAAACAGCACGUGAAGUUGUUGAAAGGGAAGCGCUUGCAGCCAGACUUGCCUGCCGUUGCUCAUCCGGGCUUUUGCCCGGUGCACUCUUCGGUAGGCAGGCCAGCAUCAGUUUGGGCGGUGGGAUAAAGGUCUCUGUCACGUACCUCCUCUCGGGGAGGCCUUAUAGGGGAGACGCCAUGCCACCAGUCUGGACUGAGGUCCGCGCAUCUGCUAGGAUGCUGGCGUAAUGGCUGUAAGCGG
rnacentral:rRNA from 1 species